ensembl:snRNA U6 U6 spliceosomal RNA
GUGCUAACUUUGCCAAUAUAAAAACUAAAACCAGAAUGAUAUAGGGAAGAUCCGCAUAGCCCCCACACAAGGAUGACAUGAAAUUUGUGAAGCAUUGCAAAUUUUU